rnacentral:snoRNA from 1 species
UGCAAAUGAUGUCAGUCAAUAUUUGCUAUCUGACCAUGGUGAUGACACACUUUCCACCAAGAUCUCUGAUGCA